UCUUCAAAUACAACAUUAAUGUAUUGUUCGCAAAUUCUCAGUAUGCCCUUACGCGCAAGAUGGAAAGUGACAGACUCGUUAAAUGAAGAAAACAUUGCGUCUGCUAUUUCACUGCAGUGUUUACGUUGGGGCCCAUUAUACUGUCAGUCAGUAAGGAAAUUUGAAGGACAGGUUCGCACUGUACGCCAAAUCGAGCCAUCGUAGCCAUUUUAUUACACCACAUUUGCAGACCCUGCCCUUUAAAAUGGCGGCCGCCUCGGAGGCUUCAUUGGGCUCCAUCUUUUGCACCAGUCGUUUCCGAGCGGAAGUAAUGCUGCAAGCUAGGCUACAUCUCCGUGAUGUUCUGAAAUGGCCGAAAGUCUGUGAAAGCGAGGGAUAACGACCUUGUGGUGACGGGAAUGUGUUCACUGAGCCACGUGCCUUGUUGAUAAUACCUCCUGGAUGACCACCCAUAAAGUCAACCCCAAUAUCUCCUCAUCAGAAACACCAACUCCCAGCUGCGUGCUCUUCAGUUCACAAUGUCACCAUCUCGCUGGAAAAAUGCAAUGGACUUCCUCCCAGAUCCUUAGCUUAUUUAUUUUUCAUUUGGUCAGCACAGUACAGAUGGGCUUUCUGUUCUUGUUUUAAAUGGCGUUGAAAAUUGUUUUUGGAGUAUCUUUUUUUAAACAGUGUAUUCUGUUUAUAUCAGACAAUGACAACACAUUGACAUUUUUAUUUGUUUUUUAUUAACUGAAUGUUAUCUUACAAA